CUGGUUGAAUAUUUUGUGCAGGUUGACUGAUGGUUAAUUUGCCAGAUACUCCAAAUAGAGAAAAAAAAUAAGAGUUACAUUAGCCAAGGAGGAAUUGUCACCCAGUAUUGAUUUGGAAGCUAUUUCAAAUAUGACCGAAGGAUAUUCUGGAAGUGACAUGAAGAACCUGUGAGUGACUGCUGCACAUUGUCCCAUACGAGAGAAUCUGGAGAAGGAAAAGAAGGGGAGAGCUUUGGCAGUGGCUGAGGAUAGACUAGCAGUGUUGGCAUUCGUUCUCUGUUGAUGGAUGACUUUAAAUAUGCUCAUGAACAGGUUUGUGCAAGUGUG